GAUGAACGCUGGCGGCGUGCCUAAUACAUGCAAGUCGAGCGAACGGACGAGAAGCUUGCUUCUCUGAUGUUAGCGGCGGACGGGUGAGUAACACGUGGAUAACCUACCUAUAAGACUGGGAUAACUUCGGGAAACCGGAGCUAAUACCGGAUAAUAUUUUGAACCGCAUGGUUCAAAAGUGAAAGACGGUCUUGCUGUCACUUAUGGAUGGAUCCGCGCUGCAUUAGCUAGUUGGUAAGGUAACGGCUUACCAAGGCAACGAUGCAUAGCCGACCUGAGAGGGUGUUCGGCCACACUGGAACUGAGCCACGGUCCAGACUCCUGCGGGAGGCAGCAGUAGGGAAUCUUCCGCAAUGGGCGAAAGCCUGACGGAGCAACGCCGCGUGAGUGAUGAAGGUCUUCGGAUCGUAAAACUCUGUUAUUAGGUAAGAACAUAUGUGUAAGUAACUGUGCACAUCUUGACGGUACCUAAUCAGAAAGCCACGGCUAACUACGUG
rnacentral:rRNA from 1 species